AGAGGCUUAGGUUAAAUACUUUAGACCAAGAGCCUUCAAAGCCCUAAGCAGGGGUGAAACUCCCCUAGCCUCUG
rnacentral:tRNA from 1 species